GACGAACGCUGGCGGCGUGCUUAACACAUGCAAGUCGAGCGGUAAGGCUCCUUCGGGAGUACACGAGCGGCGAACGGGUGAGUAACACGUGAGCAAUCUGCCCUUCACAUCGGAAUAACUUCGGGAAACCGAAGCUAAUACCGGAUACGACCAUCGGUGGCAUCAUCUGAUGGUGGAAAGCCCCGGCGGUGAAGGAUGAGCUCGCGGCCUAUCAGCUUGUUGGGGGGUAAUGGCCUACCAAGGCGACGACGGGUAGCCGGCCUGAGAGGGUGACCGGCCACACUGGGACUGAGACACGGCCCAGACUCCUACGGGAGGCAGCAGUGGGGAAUAUUGGACAAUGGGCGAAAGCCUGAUCCAGCAACGCCGCGUGAGGGAUGACGGCCU
rnacentral:rRNA from 1 species